rnacentral:lncRNA from 1 species
AUUUUCUUUCAAUACUAUAUAAUUUUUUUCUUUUUUUUCUUUUAAAUUCAUCAACCUACUUAUACAUAAUAUUUCGAAUGUCUAAAAUACCAAUAAAACUAGCAUCAAAGGUACCUACAUCUUGCAAGAGUACCUCCUCUUUUGUACCUCCAUAAUCUCGCUUUAUAGUGGUACUUCUCCAAAAUCCUUAAAUUCUCCAACAACC